AUUGAACGCUGGCGGCAGGCCUAACACAUGCAAGUCGAGCGGAGCGACGGACGGGUGAGUAAUGCCUAGGAAUCUGCCUGGUAGUGGGGGAUAACGUCCGGAAACGGGCGCUAAUACCGCAUCCUAUCGGCUUCGCCUAGGUGGGAUUCGCUAGUUGGUGGGGUAAAGGCCUACCAAGACGCCGAUCCGUAACUGGUCUGAGAGGAUGAUCAGUAACACUGGAACUGAGACACGGUCCAGACUCCUACGGGAGGCAGCAGUGGGGAAUAUUGGACAAUGGGCGAAAGCCUGAUCCAGCCAUGCCGCGGGUGGGAAGAAGGUCUUCGGAUUGUAAAGCACUUUAAGUUGGGAGGCGUUACCAACAGAAUAAGCACCGGCUAACUUCGUGCCAGCAGCCGCGGUAAUAC
rnacentral:rRNA from 1 species